rnacentral:rRNA from 1 species
ACUCAAAUGAAUUGACGGGGGCUCGCACAAGCGGUGGAUCAUGUGGUUUAAUUCGACGAUAAACGAAGAACCUCACCGAGGUUAGAAAUCCAGACGAAUCUCAGAGGAAACUUUGAGAGCCUUCGGGCGGCUGGACAGGUGAUGCAUGGCUGUCGUCAGUUCGUGGCUUGAGCUGUUCCCUUAAGUGGGGUAACGAACGCAACCCCUAUUGUCUGUUACAAGUGUCAGGCAAGACUGCCCCCCAAGAGCACAUAGAAAUUUUGUGUGUUGUUGGGGGGGAGGAAGGCGGGGAUGACGCCAAGUCAGCAUGUCCCUCUGAUACCUCGGGCUACACACGUGAUACAAUGGACGGUACAACAGGAAGCGACGGAGCGAUCCCGAGCCAAUCCUCAGAAAGCCGUUCUCAGUUCGGAUUGUAGUCUGCAACUCGACUGCAUGAAGUUGGAAUCGCUAGUAAUCGCGGGUCAGCAUACCGCGGUGAAUACGUUCUCGAGCCUUGCACACACCGCCCGU